GCCAAGGUAGCUCAGUUGGUAGAGCUCACGACUGAAAAUCGUGCGGUCCCCGGUUCGAGCCCGGGCCUUGGCACCA
rnacentral:tRNA from 1 species